UUUAAAUGAUGCAUAAAUUUCCAUUAUGUGCUAUGUUUCUUUCUCUGCUAUCUCUGUUAAAGUGACUGAUAUAUUUAUUGCUAGUCCUUUCAGGAUGUAUGAACAUGCUAAUUUUAUAGUAGGAAGAAUCUUUGUAGACCUUUUGUAUGUCAGUCUGCAAUCAUGAAGUUAUUUGAAUGCCUGCUCUCUUGAGGAAAAACUGUGUAGAACAUUCAAUUAGCUGCCCAAAAGUGAAGAACACUAACCAGUAAUAUGAGCUUGAGAAAUUUAUCCUGCUUUUAGCUUGUUUGCCGUUGUGAAUGGAUAAGAUUUUAUCCUACUCAUUUCCCUGCUCGAAAGGACAGAUAUUUUAAGAUAAAAUCCAAGAUAUUCUGCCAAGUUUAUUUUAAAAAUAAUUAUAGAAUUAUGCAUCUUAAUUAUUUAUUUUUGAUUAUAUCAUAAAGAACAAUUUUAUGAGGAAAGUUAAUAUGUUAGUGCUAAAUUAUGAAAUAAUUGAAUGAAGAAAUAUUGCAGUCCUUUUAUGAACAAUUUUUGCUAAGUACUUUCUAAUAUUUAAAAAUCAAUAUUGAAAACAUUAUUAUAAGAAAUUAGAUAUAACAAGUAAGAGAUGUAUAACAGAUCAAGUUAUUAUGAUAAAAGGCAUAUUUUUGCAUCUUUAUGUGCACUAAUACACGUAUUAGAAAUUACGGUCAAGUCAGUAAAUAGAAUAAUUACCACAUACCUAAAGUGCAUAUUUUUAAAACCUAAUCCAGAUAUGGUAACUGACACUUGACUUUCAAUGUGGAAUUUGUUACCAGAAUUAUUGCCAAUAUUGCAGUGAUGGGGUCAUUUGAGCAGGCUACUACAGACAACCUUUUUAUGGAAGCGAUAAGAGUCCACUCUACCGUGGUACAAGAACAAUCUGCAUAGUAGGGAGCUGCACGCUUUUAGCAGGCUACUACAGUCAUAGAAUUCUUUAUAGGGUGCAUCUUUAAAGAUCUUAAAUUACAAGUUAAUAUAAAUAAAUGUUUGUUUAUCCCACAUUUGUAAGUUCACCUUGCUUUAACUCUAUAGAGUAAAUAUUUAUAUGUUUUGCUUUCCUAAUAU